GUCCAGGGUAGCCUAGUGGUCAUGGGAUCUGCCCGGUAAGCGGAAGGUCGUGGGUUCGAUUCCCAUCCCUUGACA
rnacentral:tRNA from 1 species